rnacentral:rRNA from 1 species
GAUGAACGCUAGCGAUAGGCUUAACACAUGCAAGUCGAGGGGCAGCGAGGGUAGCAAUACCUGUCGGCGACCGGCGCACGGGUGAGUAACGCGUAUGUAACCUGCCCGCAACAGGGGGAUAACCCGGCGAAAGUCGGACUAAUACCGCAUAAAACAGGGGUCCCGCAUGGGAAUAUUUGUUAAAGAUUUAUCGGUUGCGGAUGGUCAUGCGUACCAUUAGGUAGUUGGUGAGGUAACGGCUCACCAAGGCUUCGAUGAUUAGGGGUUCUGAGAGGAAGGUCCCGCAGACGGGUACUGAGACACGGACCAGACUCCUACGGGAGGCAGCAGUGAGGAAUAUUGGGAAGUGGGCGAGAGCCUGAACCGGCCAAGUCGCAUGAAGGAUUACUGCCCUAUGGGUUGUAAACUUCUUUUACAAGGGAAUAAAAUGAGAUACGGGUAUUUUAUUGCAUGUACCUUGGGAAUAAGCAUCGGCUAACUACGUG